CGCCUCCAGGCCAGUUGCGUGAGAAUCCCCUCGCAAACAAGUCCAUUCUCUCGGCGAUAAUUUCUCUUUUCCUGUAGAAGCUAGUUUCCCCUUUAAAUUGAUAGAAUGCGUAUUCUUUGUGGAAUUAUAGCGGCGUGUAUGGUUCUUAUCUUGUCGCAUCAAACCCUCGCUGCGGACAAGAAAGACACAAAGAAGCUGCAGAUCGGCGUAAAGAAGAGGGUGGCAGACUGUAAAACGAGAUCGAAGAGUGGUGAUACGCUUCACAUGCAUUACACUGGUACACUAAAAGACGGCACACAAUUUGAUAGCAGCAUUCCAAGAGGAGAACCAUUUGUGUUCACAUUAGGAGUAGGACAAGUUAUCAAAGGAUGGGAUCAAGGACUACUAAAUAUGUGUGAGGGAGAAAAGAGGAAACUUGUAAUUCCAUCAGACCUUGGCUAUGGAGACAGUGGAGCCCCUCCUAAGAUCCCGGGUCUGCAGCUUUAGCUCAAGAUUACAAACAAUUAGUCAUGUGAUUCUUGUCACAUGCACCCUUUUAAGAACAAUGAUCAGCCAGAAGAAUUUGGGGGCGCUACACUGGUAUUUGAGGUUGAGCUGUUAAAGAUAGAGCGAAAAACAGAAUUGUAAUCAGAUCUUGAACGCUUUAUUGUGUGAAGAUCUUUUGAUAUUUUUUAAAAAUAAAAUUUUCUCUUAAGAAAAUCACUGUAUAUUGUCAGUGUCUGUUCAUGUUACGUGCAAUUUAGACUUCUUUAUUUUUAUUUAAUCUUUAGAAUUCCGGGGAGGGACGGUUUUUGAUCAUCGAGAACGUGUUUUUAGAUUUUGUGGGUGAAAUAUUUAUCGCUUUUUUAGGCGUGCCUCUAACACAGAAUCUAUAAUCAAUAGCCUCCUUUUAGCGAGAAAAUAUGCACGGCACGGUUAUAUAUCUAGGAACAUUCUCUUUGUGAUCUUGUUCACAUUUGUUAACUCACUUAUUUCAAAAAUGUGCCAGUCGAAGGUAAUUAAGGCGAAAAAGUCAUUAUUCACAUUAUGAUCUUUACGUAAGGAAGGAAUGUCCCAGGAGGAAGUAGAUCACCUUUUUAAUGCUAUAGUUUUACCAAAUUUUUCUUAUGACCUGCCGGUUUAUGGUGCCUCAGACUCCGACCUUUCUAUAAUUCAGAAUUUUUUGGACCGGUGUUUGAAAAGGAAGUUUAUGUCCAAGAAUGUAGGUAUCAGGGAUUUGCUAGAGAGGGCGGACAAGGCACUCUACAAAAAAAUAUCGAAUGACCCCGAAUGCCCGUUUUUCCAGUUUUUACCUAAGGAAAAGAACAUGAGGUACAAUCUUAGAAAUACGUCAGUCUCUGUCCCUAGAAU